UCCCCACUCCGACACUGAGAGGGAGGAGGAGGAGGAAGGCUCUGGGGGCUGAAACACUGUACAGCAUCACAGAGCACUUCGGAGAGGGUGACUCCAGCCUUAACUCUUUCCUUCACGUGUCCCAGCUCCCUGGAACUCUCCAGCCUUGGCGUUCUCUUUCCUCCCGUUAAAAGGCUACUAUCUGGGACACAGACUCAGACCUGCUGUUCUUGAAAGUGGGUUUCAUCUCUUAUCAGCUCUUCUAGUCAACGAAACAAUGGACUAUGCAGAAAGGAGGAAGAGUACAUUUGAGUGAUCCUGCAUUCUUGUGAAAAGCUUCCCAAGAAAACAACACAAGUUCUGUCAUUUUAAUUCUAAAAUGUAUGGCCUAUAAAUGCCCACAAUGUCUUGUUAAAAGCAGCCAGAAUACUGCAUAUUUUGAACCAUAGAAUGUAUGAUUCAUUUGAAAAAACAUAUUUUUCCUGUUGCUGCUACUAGUGGGCCUCUCAUAACCUCAUCUGUGUAUUUUUGCCUUUCUUGUCCUUCGCCACAAAAGAUAGGAUUCCCGUUGAUUCAGUUUUUCCAUCCCAUAGAAUGCUACAGCAUUAGCUGUGGGUUUGUCUGUUGAAAAAGCCACAAGUGUCCUGCCCCUGAUUUGUUGAGCAUGUUGCAUGGGUAGCAGUGACUCUGCAGCCCUGAUGCCAGGGAAGGUUUUUGGAGUUUAGCAAGCCUGGCAGGCAGCUGUGCAUAGAAAAGGAAACCAAAAAGAAUGAAGAUCUAAGAUCACACUAGGAAAGCCACAGGGAGAGCAGAGGGCAGGCUUCAAAGCUAGGUGCCAGCUUUUAGGCUCAGUUAGGAAAAGUGGACUGAAAGAGCAUGGUCUUGCCUAGAAUAGAACCAUGGAAUCAUAGAAUAGUUUGGGUUGGAAGGGACCUUCAAAGGUCAUCUAGUCCAACACCCCUGCACUGAGCAGGGACAUCUUCAAUUAGAUCAGGUUGCUCAGAGUCUACCACAGCUUAAGGCAAUGGCUGAUGGAUGGGCAGCUGAUGGCAGGCUGAAGGACACAAACUGCAACUCACCACUAAACCUUCUCUUCUCAGUCCUUCUACCUUGGCCGCAGCUGGGAAGGUGUCCUGGUUUAGCAAAACCAGGACAGAAGGUUUUCCUCUUCUGCUUUCAAAAGUAGCUCUAAAUGCGCUACUGUUCUAACUCUCCACACAUCACUGUUUCUGAAUAUGUCAGCAGCUCUCCCUUUCUUCCAUGGGAUAUAACCGCCUCUCCCUAUCUCUCUCUCCCUGUCUCCUGCCUGGAAGAUUGGAAUUUAAACUUGCUUCUGAAAGACUGCAUUGAUGUUUCUAUCUUUGUGAUAUUUAAAACUAGCAUCCACUGUCUUAAUUUUAGAUCAGAAAUGUAAGCAGCUACUUUAUUUGAGAAGGUAAACAGCCUUAUUAGGGUGUGUUUGUACAUGACCAGUCAGUGAAUUGCUUUUCUUGCCUAUUUCCGUUCCACUCCUAAAAUGGCCACAUCUUAAAUCACUCCCCUCUGAGAUGGCAAUGACAGUCCCAGAUGUGAGAAUCCUGACCCUGCAAGUCCGGAGCUUGAGUCCUAGCUGUUAAUAAAUUAGAAUUUCUGAUGAGGAAGAGAAGAAGGAGCAUGUUGGAGAGCUGGCCUAAACAAUUGACUUCAGAGAGAGCUUGUGUUUGUUGGGACUGGGUUUGCAAACUGCAGAAGUGCCUUGGGUAUGGUUGCCUCAUUCUCUUACUGUACUGGAAACAUACUAUCAAAGAUGUUUGAUGGAUAAAACUGGGAAUCUAUUACUUUUUGGAAAGCCAGGCCCCUUAGGAUGGCACCUCUAAUCAGGUAGCCAAAGUUUCUGGCAAUUAAUUACGUUCUUCCUUAUGUAAAACUUAGCCUUGCUUUUUUAGUCAAAUACAGACUCUCAAAAAACAUAUUGAGGACAUAGGAUCAUAUUACGGGUAGAAGUGCCCAUUCUGAUUCACGCCUUGGAGUCUGCAUUGAUGCUUAUGGAUAUUACAUAGAUCAAGAGAAGGAUUAGUCAGUGGUGAGGACAAGGGCUGUGUACUGCGCUAUGUGAAUUCCAGAUGUAAGCAGAGACUCUGUGCCUACAGCCAUUCUCUGGAGCUCAGACAUCCCAGGCCUCCUCCUACACAGCGGGCAUGGCAUCCUGCAUUGCUGGUGUCCUUCCUAUAGCAACAGCCUGUGAUGUUUUCCUUGGUUUCUGAAGAUUGUGCAGACAGCUGUGUGAGGGAACACUUCCCCCAGGGGAACACCCUGAUAUAUGUAUGAUACUGGGAUGGGUGCUGGCAAUGACUGUGGAGCUUUGUGAUCUCAGAUGAUUUGAGAGAGCAGAGAAUUUUGUUUUGUCCCCAAAACCAGAACAGGAAGAAGGAAUUUGGAGGUAUGUUAUGUUAAAAUAUGCAGCCUUUGUGGCCACAGAUAGCUCUUCAGACAUGGUGAUUCUCUAAUUAAAGGCAGGGUGGUUUGAGGAAUGUGUGAUUCCAGCUUGUUUAAAAGACUGUGAGAGAGCAAAGCUAACCAUAAAAAAUGCCCAAAAAUAUCAACAUGAGCAGAACUGUUCAGGAGAGGGAGAAAACAUGUAGUAGCUACCUGUGAGCAGCCACUGCACAGGUUCAAGCAGAAGGAAGUGGGUAUUAGAGAAGUAAAUGCCUGCAAGGGAUAGCCCUGCACCUCUUGAAACUGUCAGAGUUCAAUAGCAGCCUGCAAGCAGCGAGUAAAGUGAGGACCUUCAUUGGUUUAACACUGAAUCUGUGGCAUAAUCCACUACCGAUGACAGAAGAUAACAGCUACUUGAUUUACCAGAAGCAAAAAAGUGAAACCCCUCUGUGGUGUUUUCACUGGGUUGAAACUGCCUUCAUCAGCUAUUUGUAGAUGCCACUGAGAGCAAACACCAACAGACAUCAUCUAUCUCCUGUGCUCUUCCUGUGCAAGCCAAACCAGGUGCUAGAGGGAUUGCCAAGCAUUCAUAAGACUUAGUGUUUAUAAAAAGAUUGCAAGAGGCAAACGGAAGGGCUACAGAAUGCCAGUAGCUCAUCAUCCAAGAAGAUUCAUUGUCUCCUCUUUGGAGAAAUAAUGUGAGAACUUCUCUUUGGAGGAGCCACUGAAGAUACAUAAUCACAGCCCAAAUCUCCUAGUUUAGAACAGUAUCAAUUAACAUCCUGAGUGAUGCAAGUGAGAAUGAGAAAGAAGAGGGUAGCUUCUCACUUGAUUUGUGUGCCGUUAAGUUGAACUGGCUAACUGAAAUAACUCAGACAUAUCUGAGAACCUCUUUUAUUUUACUUGUUCUUUUUCAGGACAAGGGUGAGUUGUGGGGGAAAUGGAACCAUCUGUUAAAUCAUGGCAUCUGAUAGAAAAUCCAGCCUUUCUCUUGGUUUAAUAUCUGGGUAAAAAGUUUAUUUAUAUGAGAUACUGGAUUCCUUUGUGAACUACUUCAGUCAGCCAAGCCAAGCUGGUCUUCCAGUACCAUGAAUUUAUGUCCUUACUGUGGUUUCUUGCCAGUAUCCUCUCCAUUGACAUUGUAUUUACAUUAGCACUGUAAAACAUCACUUCAUUCAAGAGUCUGAAGUGAAGCCCUCACUCACUCAUGCACUUAGCUCUUGAUUGUUGCCACCUGGUGAGAAGUUAGCUGAUUGCCUUUCCCAGAUGGGUCCGGCCAUUCUGAAUAUAAUGAGAAUGAAAGCCACUGAUGCAUUGGGGCUCCUCAGGUUCCAGUGUUGAUUUUAGUCGUCUGUAGCUGGUAUAAAUGCAAAAUAUUGCACAGUCAUUUCUUCAACUAAGAUUAAAAUACAAAUCCUUUAUUUAAAAGAGAAAUGCCUUCAGCAGGCAGUGCCUUGGUCAUCAGAUUUUGACAACCUUGAGUCUAUAUACUGGUAAGUGAUCUGGAUGAUGGUUCACUGCAUUUAAGUCUGUUUUUUCUUCUGUAAAUUUCAAAGCUCUUUACAAAGUAUAAGUGUUUUCAUUUUAUGGAAGGCAGAAAUGGAGAGGGAAAAGAGGAACACCGUAUUGUCUAACCUGGUGUAGAUCCUCAUGUGAAGCUUAUCUAGUUUGCUGAAUCAAAGGGAUGGUCCCAAGGUCUCGCUUUGACAGAACUAUGACAACUUCUAUAGGAAUGAAGUACAAAGGAGGUUUGACUUUCAGUGUGUUCUGAUGUUCAGGCUGUCCUGCCUCUGAAUAAACAGUUCAGAAUGGAGUCAAACAUAUGUUUUUCUAUAUGUUCUAAAAGGGCUUGCUGAAGGGCAAGCUUUGCUCUGUUCAUUUCAAGAGAAGGUUUGAAUAAGAAUUUUUUCAUGUGUGAGUUCCACUGAGUAUGUUUAAAUUACUGUUAUUGCCCUGUGUCAUACUGUAUUCCCAAAAGGCACAGGGACUUUGGUAGCUCACAAGAACCAGAAAGCAAAACCAUCUGAUCUUAUGAACAAAAAUUGGAUGAACAAUAACAGCUGAUGAACAGAAUAUGUGCUUUAACUUGUAUUUAAGAAUAAAGUACAUCAACCUA